ACGAGUUCAAACGCUCUCCGCGGAGAUUUGAAGGAGCUAGUGCUCUCCUUGUCUUCAUCAAUGAAAUCUCACCUUGUUUAUAGCAUUAUUAGAACCUCCUACCAAGACAUUUCCAAUGAGUUUCUAUGACCUUCGACUAUCCGAUGUUACUUCUUUGUUCUAUCACUGUCAAUAGGUGUGGACUCGGAUGAUGGACGAUGUUUUCGCAGCUGUGUAGAGCCAGACCAAAAGAUCUGUGGAACAAAAUCUCACUGAGACAACCUACUACAAGUGAGCCAUGUGCAGUGCCCGAGGAUUCCCAACUUUCAACUGAUUUAGAUUGUGGAGGGGAGGAUAGCCGGUGUCAACUAGAACAUUGUACUUUCUGCGAUUAUAGGGUGUGUUGCCAGGUGG